CUACGGAGGGUGCAAGCGUUACUCGGAAUCACUGGGCGUAAAGCGCGCGCAGGCGGUCUUUUAAGUUGGAUGUGAAAGCCUACGGCUCAACCGUAUAACUGCAUCCAAAACUAUUAGACUAGAGUGUGGGAGAGGAAGAUGGAAUUAGUUGUGUAGGGGUAAAAUCCGUAGAGAUAACUAGGAAUACCAAAAGCGAAGGCAAUCUUCUGGAACACUACUGACGCUGAGGCGCGAAAGCGUGGGGAGCAAACAGGAUUAGAAACCCUAGUAGUCC
rnacentral:rRNA from 1 species